CUCGCCGCCGUUAUGUAGGUAUAAUUUUUCAAGCGUCUGUCUCUCUCUGUCUAUCUCUCUCUUUCUCGCUUUUUCUCUUUGAUUUCCCUUACUCCUUUUUCCCAUACUCUUCUUGUUCUAAAGAGAGCAUUUCAGUGGAAGAAGGAGCUCUGUAACUCUGUACAGCUCAUCGGCAUCGUCGUUACACCUGUCCAAAUCAAGCCCCUCAGCUCCAGCAAGGUUGUCACUUGGUCUCGCCUCGCCGUCAAGAAAUCCUCUACCGACACUGCCUGCAAGGUGGAGGAUGGCUUAACAAGUGCAAGUUCAACAAACUUGAACAAACAAGGCCCUUUGCCCUCUAUAAAAUUGGUCAGAAAGCAGUUUGGUGGCAGAUAUGCCAUAUCAUCUGAGGAGUUCACUAGUGAAGUGGUUGGAGCUAAAUCACGUAAUAUUGGAUAUCUAAAAGGAAAAGUGCUUUCAUGGGUUGGGAUUCCUACCUCGGUUGACCUACCAUUUGGAGUUUUCGAGAAAGUUCUUUCAGACGGUUUAAAUUAGGUUUUCCUCAUCUCAAAAUCUUUCACAUAUCUCUAUUGUAGUUUGUUAUUGCACUCUUCAUUCAGUAACUUCUAAUGUUUCCAUUUGGCAUAGGAUUUUUUUUUCCUUCCAUUUAUUUCUUAAUAGUAGACACACCAACUAGGUGAAUUUGCAUUUGUUUUUAUCCUAGAUUGGCGGCCUUGUUUUA